rnacentral:tRNA from 1 species
UCCCUGGUGGUCCAGUGGCUGGGACUCUGAGCUUCCAAUGCAGGGGCCCUGGGGUUCAAUCCCCUGGUCAGGGAA